rnacentral:rRNA from 1 species
GAUGAACGCUGGCGGCGUGCCUAAUACAUGCAAGUCGAGCGAACAGACGAGGAGCUUGCUCCUCUGACGUUAGCGGCGGACGGGUGAGUAACACGUGGAUAACCUACCUAUAAGACUGGGAUAACUUCGGGAAACCGGAGCUAAUACCGGAUAAUAUAUUGAACCGCAUGGUUCAAUAGUGAAAGACGGUUUUGCUGUCACUUAUAGAUGGAUCCGCGCCGCAUUAGCUAGUUGGUAAGGUAACGGCUUACCAAGGCAACGAUGCGUAGCCGACCUGAGAGGAUGAUCGGCCACACUGGAACUGAGACACGGUCCAGACUCCUACGGGAGGCAGCAGUAGGGAAUCUCCCGCAAUGGGCGAAAGCUUGACGGAGCAACGCCGCGUGAGUGAUGAAGGUCUUCGGAUCGUAAAACUCUGUUAUUAGGGAAGAACAAAUGUGUAAGUAACUAUGCACGUCUUGACGGUACCUAAUCAGAAAGCCACGGCUAACUACGUG